CAACAUGGUAAAAUCCUGUCUCUACUAAAAUUACAGAAAUUUGCCAGCUGUGGUGGCAGGUUCCCAUAAUCCCAGCUACUCAGAAGGUUGAGGCAGGAGAAUUGCUGGAACCCAGGAGGUGGAGGUUACAGUGAGCCAAGAUCACGCCACUGUAUUCCACCCAGGGGGACAGAGCAAGACAGCGUCUCAAAAAAGAUAAUUAAAAAAAUAAUAAAUAAACUAAACAGAAAGAGCCAUAUCCUGGAUUAUCCUAGAUUAUCGAGGUAGAUCCUAAGUGACAUCACAAGUGUGCCUAUAAGAGAAGGGCGAAGGUGAUUUCAUGCAGACACACACACAGAAGACAACGUGAAGCUGGUCUCAGAGAUUGGAGUGAUGAGGCUACAAGCCCGAGAAUGCCAGGGCAACAACUAGAAUCUAAAAGAAGCAAAACAAAUAAAUAUAAACAAACCAACCAACAAACAAAAACAGAUUCUUCCCUGAAUCCCCCAGAGGGGACCUGGUAUGCUGGAUUUCAUGGCCUCCAGAAUUGGCCCUUGCCUUUUUUUAAAAAGGCUAUUCCGGAGAAGACUCAAGAUGGCGCUGUGAGAACAACCCAGGAUUGGAGUUCUUCUCGUUGAAUCUGCAAAUGGUGAGUCAGAGCGGCAUUUCCAGACUGAUCUUUGUUGCCCACAGAACGGGGAAACUCCCAAGUAUAAAAAAGACAUGGGACGCCAGGCAGUAGGUCUGCCUGGCGAAGCCGGCAGCCGGGGCGGUGGCGGCCAGCCCUACCCAGCAAUCCCCACAGGGCACGCUUGUCCGGGUGCCCUGUUGAACCGGCAACCUGAGACUUGAGAGGGCUGGACUUGAGACUGAAUGAGACUUGGACAGUAGGCCAGCGCAGGGGAUUGCAGGGAUUGGGAUACCCAGUGGGACGAACAAAACCACGAUUUCAAACUAUCCCGAGCAGACGGUCCGAGACGCUCUGUGGGGGAGGGGCAUCCACCACUACCGAGGCAACCCGCCCCAACUGAGAUACAUGCCCACUGCUGACGCAGCCAGCCGUUGCCGAGGCAACCCGCCCCAACUGAGAUACACGCCCAUUGCUGACGCAGCCAGCCAUUGCCGAGGCAACCCGUCCCUACUGAGAUACACGCCCACUGCUGACGCAGCCUGCCGUUGCUGAGGCAACACGCUACAACGAAGAGACUCCGCCACAGGGCGUGGCAGAGACCACAGCAGAGCCGGCAGGAAUAGCGCGAAUCACACAACAGCAGGGCAGAGCCUCGACAGCCAAACAGUGGCUAGUCUGCCUUCUAGCUGGGCAGGACACCUGAUCGGACAUCCGUAAAUAAAGCCCAAACCCCUCAACA
rnacentral:lncRNA from 13 species